CUACAUACAUGCACCGGUUAUGCACGUGAUCAAGAAGGCGGUUCUCCCAGGGCGAAGCUCACAUUGCACUCAGUUGGCGCCGACUCCCAGCGAUUAACCAAAUGUGAAUUAAAUCGAGUGCGCAAUUUUUGGUAGCGGGGGGCCUGCGUUCCUUA